rnacentral:rRNA from 1 species
UUGAACGCUGGCGGCAGGCCUAACACAUGCAAGUCGAGCGGAUGAAGGGAGCUUGCUCCUGGAUUCAGCGGCGGACGGGUGAGUAAUGCCUAGGAAUCUGCCUGGUAGUGGGGGAUAACGUCCGGGAACGGGCGCUAAUACCGCAUACGUCCUGAGGGAGAAAGUGGGGGAUCUUCGGACCUCACGCUAUCAGAUGAGCCUAGGUCGGAUUAGCUAGUUGGUGGGGUAAAGGCCUACCAAGGCGACGAUCCGUAACUGGUCUGAGAGGAUGAUCAGUCACACUGGAACUGAGACACGGUCCAGACUCCUACAGGAGGCAGCAGUGGGGAAUAUUGGACAAUGGGCGAAAGCCUGAUCCAGCCAUGCCGCGUGUGUGAAGAAGGUCUUCGGAUUGUAAAGCACUUUAAGUUGGGAGGAAGGGCAGUAAGUUAAUACCUUGCUGUUUUGACGUUACCAACAGAAUAAGCACCGGCUAACUUCGUG